rnacentral:rRNA from 1 species
UUGAACGCUGGCGGCAGGCCUAACACAUGCAAGUCGAGCGGUAGCACAGAGAGCUUGCUCUCGGGUGACGAGCGGCGGACGGGUGAGUAAUGUCUGGGAAACUGCCUGAUGGAGGGGGAUAACUACUGGAAACGGUAGCUAAUACCGCAUAACGUCGCAAGACCAAAGUGGGGGACCUUCGGGCCUCAUGCCAUCAGAUGUGCCCAGAUGGGAUUAGCUAGUAGGUGGGGUAACGGCUCACCUAGGCGACGAUCCCUAGCUGGUCUGAGAGGAUGACCAGCCACACUGGAACUGAGACACGGUCCAGACUCCUACGGGAGGCAGCAGUGGGGAAUAUUGCACAAUGGGCGCAAGCCUGAUGCAGCCAUGCCGCGUGUGUGAAGAAGGCCUUCGGGUUGUAAAGCACUUUCAGCGGGGAGGAAGGCGAUAAGGUUAAUAACCUUGUCGAUUGACGUUACCCGCAGAAGAAGCACCGGCUAACUCCGUGCCAGCAGCCGCGGUAAUACGGAGGGUGCAAGCGUUAAUCGGAAUUACUGGGCGUAAAGCGCACGCAGGCGGUCUGUCAAGUCGGAUGUGAAAUCCCCGGGCUCAACCUGGGAACUGCAUUCGAAACUGGCAGGCUAGAGUCUUGUAGAGGGGGGUAGAAUUCCAGGUGUAGCGGUGAAAUGCGUAGAGAUCUGGAGGAAUACCGGUGGCGAAGGCGGCCCCCUGGACAAAGACUGACGCUCAGGUGCGAAAGCGUGGGGAGCAAACAGGAUUAGAUACCCUGGUAGUCCACGCCGUAAACGAUGUCGAUUUGGAGGUUGUGCCCUUGAGGCGUGGCUUCCGGAGCUAACGCGUUAAAUCGACCGCCUGGGGAGUACGGCCGCAAGGUUAAAACUCAAAUGAAUUGACGGGGGCCCGCACAAGCGGUGGAGCAUGUGGUUUAAUUCGAUGCAACGCGAAGAACCUUACCUGGUCUUGACAUCCACAGAACUUUCCAGAGAUGGAUUGGUGCCUUCGGGGACUGUGAGACAGGUGCUGCAUGGCUGUCGUCAGCUCGUGUUGUGAAAUGUUGGGUUAAGUCCCGCAACGAGCGCAACCCUUAUCCUUUGUUGCCAGCGGUUAGGCCGGGAACUCAAAGGAGACUGCCAGUGAUAAACUGGAGGAAGGUGGGGAUGACGUCAAGUCAUCAUGGCCCUUACGACCAGGGCUACACACGUGCUACAAUGGCAUAUACAAAGAGAAGCGACCUCGCGAGAGCAAGCGGACCUCAUAAAGUAUGUCGUAGUCCGGAUUGGAGUCUGCAACUCGACUCCAUGAAGUCGGAAUCGCUAGUAAUCGUAGAUCAGAAUGCUACGGUGAAUACGUUCCCGGGCCUUGUACACACCGCCCGUCACACCAUGGGAGUGGGUUGCAAAAGAAGUAGGUAGCUUAACCUUCGGGAGGGCGCUUACCACUUUGUGAUUCAUGACUGGGGUG